UACGUAGGGGGCAAGCGUUGUCCGGAAUCAUUGGGCGUAAAGCGCGCGUAGGCGGCCCUGUAAGUCCGUUGUGAAAGUCGAAGGCUCAACCUUCGAAAGCCGAUGGAUACUGCAGGGCUAGAGUCCGGAAGAGGCGAGUGGAAUUCCUGGUGUAGCGGUGGAAUGCGCAGAUAUCAGGAGGAACACCGGUGGCGAAGGCGGGUCUCUGGGCCGUAACUGACGCUGAGGAGCGAAAGCGUGGGGAGCGAACAGG
rnacentral:rRNA from 1 species